rnacentral:rRNA from 1 species
GACGAACGCUGGCGGCGUGCUUAACACAUGCAAGUCGAACGGAAAGGCCCUGCUUUUGUGGGGUGCUCGAGUGGCGAACGGGUGAGUAACACGUGAGUAACCUGCCCUUGACUUUGGGAUAACUUCAGGAAACUGGGGCUAAUACCGGAUAGGAGCUCCUGCUGCAUGGUGGGGGUUGGAAAGUUUCGGCGGUUGGGGAUGGACUCCCGGCUUAUCAGCUUGUUGGUGGGGUAGUGGCUUACCAAGGCUUUGACGGGUAGCCGGCCUGAGAGGGUGACCGGCCACAUUGGGACUGAGAUACGGCCCAGACUCCUACGGGAGGCAGCGGUGGGGAAUAUUGCACAAUGGGCGGAAGCCUGAUGCAGCAACGCCGCGUGCGGGAUGACGGCCUUCGGGUUGUAAACCGCUUUCGCCUGUGACGAAGCGUGAGUGACGGUAAUGGGUAAAGAAGCACCGGCUAACUACGUG